UUUUUGUCAUAUUAUUUCCAUUGUUUGUAAAGUGGAAUUGGCCCUGCCAACUUCCUCCUCUCUUCUCUCUUAAUUCCUUCAAUCUUUCCCUUUCAAUCCUAAAUCCGUUGAUUCUGUUCCUGUAUUUGACAUACCUAUUGUUAAUGAGAAGUUGAAGCUCCAAUAAUCAUCUCCAUUCCCUGUUCCAUUCAAAUUCGUCAGGAGUUAAUUCACUUCUGCUGCAACUAAUCUGUCACCAUUGCUGCUAAUUGGUUCAAUACCAUAACACUGAAAUUAUCCAAAAAAUCACUUUGAGCCACCAUUUUCAUCCCUAAUUUGAGCUACCCAAAAGAUUUGUGUAGAUUUUGUGGAGUUGCAGAUAGCAAAAAUCCCUAGAUCGGUGCAGCAAAAAUCCCUAAUCAGGAGGAGGAGCUGCUGCACAAUCGGGUCACCGGAGGCCGCCUAGUGUUACUACUGGUAUCUUACGAACGACGGCAUCGAGUUCCUGAGGACUUACCUCAAUCUUCCCUCUGAAAUUGUUCCUGCUACUCUUAAGAAGUCCGUCAAGCCCCUCGGUCGUCCUAUGGGUGGACCUCCUGGUGACCGCCCUCGCGGACCACCAAGGUUUGAUGGGGAUAGGCCCAGAUUUGGUGACAGGGAGGGGUAUCGUGCUGGUCCCGUGGACCUUCUGAUGAGUUUGGUGGUGAGAGCCAGAUUGAAAAAAUGGGAAGUAGUAAACCAGUAUUAUAUUAUUUAUAUUGCUCCCAUGUUAUAUUAGUAGUAAUAUUUCCCGUUGACUGCAAAAAAAAAAAAAUUGAAAAAAAACAAACAUAAAAGAGAAAGAAGAUGAAGAGAACGCACAGCAAACCGCAAAUCCUAUCUGAGAUAGAAUCCUUCUCAUUCAAUCAAUUUUUUUUUUUUUGCUUUUCCUUUUUCAUCUCCCUUAACCUGGCCGUUUGAGCACAGCCGUUUACUUGUACCAUUUUAAGCUUUUCUUUUUCUUUUUUUGGGAACAAUUUUUUUGUUUCAUCCUGUUGGAUCUUUCUUUGCAGCUGGUGUACGUUCCUUCUACAAGGGAAGGCCGCCCCUGUUAAGUUUCACUGCAGAGAUCUAAUUCUCACCCACUUUUUGCCUGGGCCCGGGAUUUUUUUUUCCCCUGCGCGAAUAUUUUGGCUAGACGUCUACUUGAUGCUGAGGAAGUUAAGUAAACAGCUGAAUGGUGAGGAUUGGAUGUGGAACAACCUAAAUACCUUGUGCUGGGCAAUAGGAUCUAUAUUAGGAUCAAUGAUGGAGGAACAAGUGAAAACAGAUUUCUUGUGAUGGUGAUACGUGAUUUGUUAAACCUUUGUGAGAUUACAAAAGGCAAAGACAACAAAGCAGUUAUUGCAAGUAAUAUAAUGCAAAUGACCGUGAACUCCAGUUUUCCAUGGUUGAUGGUGAUUUCAAGAAGUUUGAAGGAAAAUGGUCUAUCAAAUCUGGUAAAAGGUCGUGCUAACUCCGACACAUUUAGCUAUUGUGAUGGAAUAUGCUGCUGGUGGAGAGCUCUUUGCAAAAAUUUAUAGUGCUGGUGGAUUCAAUGAAGAUGAGGCUCGCUUUUUCUUCAUUCAUUUUGUAAUUGCUGUCUAUUUAAUUUCUAGAUUGCGGAUGUAUGGUCCUGUGGUGUGACAUUUACAAUGCUAUUAAAUGCUCUUGAGGAGAUGAAAAAGGUUGGCAUUUGGAUAUGCUCAUGAAGAUGACUUCAGUUUGACACAAAUUGUUGCUUUAGUCUAUGUUUUUGUUUGGAAAGAGUACUUUGUUUUUUUGGAUGUGUAAUGGCUGUUACUAGUGGAAUUGAUGUGAAUUUAGUACUCUAUUGUUUGGAUGGAUAAUGGUUGUUAGUACUUGAACUAACGUGGGCUUUGGAACCCAUUUUGGUUAAUGUGUGUUGUGAUGAAUUUAGAGAUGUUUAUAACCAUAUAUAUAUAUUUGAGGGUUCAUUGUACA